CCUACGGGAGGCAGCAGUGAGGAAUAUUGGUCAAUGGGCGAGAGCCUGAACCAGCCAAGUCGCGUGAGGGACGACGGUCCUAUGGAUUGUAAACCUCUUUUGUCGGGGAACAAAGGCGCCCACGGGUGGGCGGAUGAGUGUACCCGAAGAAAAAGCAUCGGCUAACUCCGUGCCAGCAGCCGCGGUAAUCCGUAGGGGGCAAGCGUUAUCCGGAUGUACUGGGUGUAAAGGGAGCGUAGACGGCAGCACAAGGCUGGAGUGAAAUGCCGGGGCUUAACCCCGGAACUGCUUUGGAAACUGUGCAGCUAGAGUGCAGGAGAGGUAAGUGGAAUUCCUAGUGUAGCGGUGAAAUGCGUAGAUAUUAGGAGGAACACCAGUGGCGAAGGCGGCUUGCUGGACUGUAACUGACGUUGAGGCUCGAAAGCGUGGGGAGCAAACAGGAUUAGAUACCCCGGUAGUC
rnacentral:rRNA from 1 species